rnacentral:lncRNA from 1 species
CGAUCUGCCCUCCAUAUCUCUAAUAACGACGGUUGUGGCCCUCGGGGUCAUUAUAAUUGGACAGCCCUUGUCUAUAUUAAGAAUAACAAGAAACUAUUGGGAUUAGGUGGUUUCUUCAAAAAAUAGUAAUCUACAAUAUGGCGUCGUUUAUGGUUCGCGGUCGAAGUUUGAGGGGAGGACGUUCGUUAAGAAAUCGCUAUGACAAUGAAGAGGAACAUAUACAGCUUGACUAUAAUAAAGGUAAUUUGCAUAACAGAAUAAUUUUUUUUUUAAGUUUAGGGAAUACAUUGUAUUAUAUACCCUUUAUAUUAAGAAAGCAUAAGAAUAUUUUAAUAAAGCUUUCAUUUCAUUACAAAUGUUAAUAGUUAAUCA